UACGGAAGGCAGCAGUGGGGAAUAUUGCACAAUGGGCGAAAGCCUGAUGCAGCUAUGCCGCGUGUAUGAAGAAGGCCUUAGGGUUGUAAAGUACUUUCAUCGGGGAGGAAAAACAAAACUAAUAAUUUUAUUUCUUGACGUUACCCGAAAAAGAAGCACCGGCUAACUCCGUGCCAGCAGCCACGGUAAUACGGAGGGUGCUAGCGUUAAUCAGAAUUACUGGGCGUAAAGAGCACGUAGGUGGUUUUUUUAAGUCAGAUGUGAAAUCCCUGGGCUUAACCUGGAACUGCAUUUUGAAACUGAAAUACUAGAGUAUCGUAGAGGGAGGUAGAAUUCUAGGUGUAGCGGUGAAAUGCGUAGAUAUCUGGAGGAAUACCUGUGGCGAAAGCGGCCUCCUAAACGAAUACUGACACUGAGGUGCGAAAGCGUGGGGAGCAAACAGGGAUUAGAUACC
rnacentral:rRNA from 1 species